GCAGCUAAUGCAGCCUUGAGUCUCUAGCGGAGAUGAGGAGCUACAGAGGUCUGGUAAAAUCACGUCCGAUUUUUUAAUUUUCAAAGCUCCUUCUCUUUUCCUGAGGAGCUGCAUGUCACAGCUAGGUGACACAGAUAUGGAGGAGGAGAGGAGUAUCUGCACAAUAGAGGCCACAGGCAGACAGAUCGACAGUUGGUGGCGGUAAGGAGCAAAAAAAGAGUAGAAAUAUUCCAACAAAGACAACAAAGAAGACUGCAAACUUGUCAACGUGAAUGUAAUCAAUACAAGAUUUAAAAUAUUUGACUUUCAAAUGUUUAAUGAGUGAGGAAAUACAUUCAAUGUUCAA